UGGCGUGUAGCUCAAUGGCAGAGCAUCUGUCUUACAAGCAGAAUGUCGUCAGUUCGAUUCUGACCACGUCAA
rnacentral:tRNA from 1 species